rnacentral:rRNA from 1 species
AUUGAACGCUGGCGGCAGGCUUAACACAUGCAAGUCGAGCGAGCGGCGGACGGGUGAGUAAUGUCUGGGAAACUGCCUGAUGGAGGGGGAUAACUACUGGAAACGGUAGCUAAUACCGCAUACCAUCAGAUGUGCCCAGAUGGGAUUAGCUAGUAGGUGGUGUAAUGGCUCACCUAGGCGACGAUCCCUAGCUGGUCUGAGAGGAUGACCAGCAAAACUGGAAUUGGGACAGGGUCCGAACUCCUACGGGAGGCAGCAGUGGGGAAUAUUGGACAAUGGGCGAAAGCCGGAUGCAGCCAUGCCGCGUGUUUGAAGAAGGCCUUCGGGUUGUAAAGCACUUUCAGCGAGGAGGCGUUACUCGCAGAAGAAGCACCGGCUAACUCCGUGCCAGCAGCCGCGGUAAUAC